rnacentral:rRNA from 1 species
AGCGUACACGGUGGAUGCCCUGGCAGUCAGAGGCGAUGAAGGACGUGCUAAUCUGCGAUAAGCGUCGGUAAGGUGAUAUGAACCGUUAUAACCGGCGAUUUCCGAAUGGGGAAACCCAGUGUGAUUCGUCACACUAUCAUUAACUGAAUCCAUAGGUUAAUGAGGCGAACCGGGGGAACUGAAACAUCUAAGUACCCCGAGGAAAAGAAAUCAACCGAGAUUCCCCCAGUAGCGGCGAGCGAACGGGGAGCAGCCCAGAGCCUGAAUCAGUGUGUGUGUUAGUGGAAGCGUCUGGAAAGGCGCGCGAUACAGGGUGACAGCCCCGUACACAAAAAUGCACAUGCUGUGAGCUCGAUGAGUAGGGCGGGACACGUGGUAUCCUGUCUGAAUAUGGGGGGACCAUCCUCCAAGGCUAAAUACUCCUGACUGACCGAUAGUGAACCAGUACCGUGAGGGAAAGGCGAAAAGAACCCCGGCGAGGGGAGUGAAAAAGAACCUGAAACCGUGUACGUACAAGCAGUGGGAGCCUCUUUAUGGGGUGACUGCGUACCUUUUGUAUAAUGGGUCAGCGACUUAUAUUCUGUAGCAAGGUUAACCGAAUAGGGGAGCCGAAGGGAAACCGAGUCUUAACUGGGCGUUAAGUUGCAGGGUAUAGACCCGAAACCCGGUGAUCUAGCCAUGGGCAGGUUGAAGGUUGGGUAACACUAACUGGAGGACCGAACCGACUAAUGUUGAAAAAUUAGCGGAUGACUUGUGGCUGGGGGUGAAAGGCCAAUCAAACCGGGAGAUAGCUGGUUCUCCCCGAAAGCUAUUUAGGUAGCGCCUCGUGAAUUCAUCUCCGGGGGUAGAGCACUGUUUCGGCAAGGGGGUCAUCCCGACUUACCAACCCGAUGCAAACUGCGAAUACCGGAGAAUGUUAUCACGGGAGACACACGGCGGGUGCUAACGUCCGUCGUGAAGAGGGAAACAACCCAGACCGCCAGCUAAGGUCCCAAAGUCAUGGUUAAGUGGGAAACGAUGUGGGAAGGCCCAGACAGCCAGGAUGUUGGCUUAGAAGCAGCCAUCAUUUAAAGAAAGCGUAAUAGCUCACUGGUCGAGUCGGCCUGCGCGGAAGAUGUAACGGGGCUAAACCAUGCACCGAAGCUGCGGCAGCGACGCUUAUGCGUUGUUGGGUAGGGGAGCGUUCUGUAAGCCUGCGAAGGUGUACUGUGAGGUAUGCUGGAGGUAUCAGAAGUGCGAAUGCUGACAUAAGUAACGAUAAAGCGGGUGAAAAGCCCGCUCGCCGGAAGACCAAGGGUUCCUGUCCAACGUUAAUCGGGGCAGGGUGAGUCGACCCCUAAGGCGAGGCCGAAAGGCGUAGUCGAUGGGAAACAGGUUAAUAUUCCUGUACUUGGUGUUACUGCGAAGGGGGGACGGAGAAGGCUAUGUUGGCCGGGCGACGGUUGUCCCGGUUUAAGCGUGUAGGCUGGUUUUCCAGGCAAAUCCGGAAAAUCAAGGCUGAGGCGUGAUGACGAGGCACUACGGUGCUGAAGCAACAAAUGCCCUGCUUCCAGGAAAAGCCUCUAAGCAUCAGGUAACAUCAAAUCGUACCCCAAACCGACACAGGUGGUCAGGUAGAGAAUACCAAGGCGCUUGAGAGAACUCGGGUGAAGGAACUAGGCAAAAUGGUGCCGUAACUUCGGGAGAAGGCACGCUGAUAUGUAGGUGAAGUCCCUUGCGGAUGGAGCUGAAAUCAGUCGAAGAUACCAGCUGGCUGCAACUGUUUAUUAAAAACACAGCACUGUGCAAACACGAAAGUGGACGUAUACGGUGUGACGCCUGCCCGGUGCCGGAAGGUUAAUUGAUGGGGUUAGCGGUAACGCGAAGCUCUUGAUCGAAGCCCCGGUAAACGGCGGCCGUAACUAUAACGGUCCUAAGGUAGCGAAAUUCCUUGUCGGGUAAGUUCCGACCUGCACGAAUGGCGUAAUGAUGGCCAGGCUGUCUCCACCCGAGACUCAGUGAAAUUGAACUCGCUGUGAAGAUGCAGUGUACCCGCGGCAAGACGGAAAGACCCCGUGAACCUUUACUAUAGCUUGACACUGAACAUUGAGCCUUGAUGUGUAGGAUAGGUGGGAGGCUUUGAAGUGUGGACGCCAGUCUGCAUGGAGCCGACCUUGAAAUACCACCCUUUAAUGUUUGAUGUUCUAACGUUGGCCCCUAAUCGGGGUUGCGGACAGUGUCUGGUGGGUAGUUUGACUGGGGCGGUCUCCUCCUAAAGAGUAACGGAGGAGCACGAAGGUUGGCUAAUCCUGGUCGGACAUCAGGAGGUUAGUGCAAUGGCAUAAGCCAGCUUGACUGCGAGCGUGACGGCGCGAGCAGGUGCGAAAGCAGGUCAUAGUGAUCCGGUGGUUCUGAAUGGAAGGGCCAUCGCUCAACGGAUAAAAGGUACUCCGGGGAUAACAGGCUGAUACCGCCCAAGAGUUCAUAUCGACGGCGGUGUUUGGCA